UGGUGCUUAUAUUCACAAUCAUAGGCGGUGAAAAAUUAUUGGUCAAAGUGGAGGACGGCGAAGGUUGAGGUGCUAUAUAGAAAUUUGGGCAGGAGGAUGGACAAUCACGAAGGGAGAUGAUGAGGAAGAAAGGAGACGAAAGUUAUUGGAAGGCUUUGAGCGGAUGAAAUAAGAUGUUCAUCUAGGAAGGUGGAGAGUGGUCCGAUGACAAAGGUUUAGAAGGGUGGUUGAAAAGCUGUAGUAGUGAUAGUAAAUUUGCAUGAUUUAGCGUAACGAAGGGAAAGCGAGAAACAUGUGAAUUUACCGUGACGAUGCCGUGGAAAAGGGAAAGCGAAGUCCGAAGACUACUGACGAGGGCAACUUCGCCGUUGAAACUUGAAACGGAGAAAGAGCCGGACGCUUGCUCGGGAAGAUGCCGUAGAUUUUUUUUUCGA
rnacentral:lncRNA from 1 species